rnacentral:rRNA from 1 species
UACGUAGGGUGCAAGCGUUGUUCGGAAUUACUGGGCGUAAAGGGCUUGUAGGUGGCCAACUAAGUCAGACGUGAAAUCCCUCAGCUUAACUGGGGAACUGCGUCUGAUACUGGAUGGCUUGAGAUUGGGAGAGGGACGCGGAAUUCCAGGUGUAGCGGUGAAAUGCGUAGAUAUCUGGAGGAACACCGGUGGCGAAGGCGGCGUCCUGGACCAACACUGACACUGAAAAGCGAAAGCCAGGGGAGCAAACGGG